GAUGAACGCUGGCGGCGUGCCUAAUACAUGCAAGUCGAGCGAACAGAUGAGGAGCUUGCUCCUCUGACGUUAGCGGCGGACGGGUGAGUAACACGUGGAUAACCUACCUAUAAGACUGGGAUAACUUCGGGAAACCGGAGCUAAUACCGGAUAAUAUAUUGAACCGCAUGGUUCAAUAGUGAAAGACGGUUUUGCUGUCACUUAUAGAUGGAUCCGCGCCGCAUUAGCUAGUUGGUAAGGUAACGGCUUACCAAGGCAACGAUGCGUAGCCGACCUGAGAGGGUGAUCGGCCACACUGGAACUGAGACACGGUCCAGACUCCUACGGGAGGCAGCAGUAGGGAAUCUUCCGAAAUGGGCGAAAGCCUGACGGAGCAACGCCGCGUGAGUGAUGAAGGUCUUAGGAUCGUAAAACUCUGUUAUUAGGGAAGAACAAAUGUGUAAGUAACUAUGCACGUCUUGACGGUACCUAAUCAGAAAGCCACGGCUAACUACGUG
rnacentral:rRNA from 1 species